rnacentral:lncRNA from 1 species
AUGUGACAACAAAAAGAUAUGUGGACCACAGUAGAGCAGAGUAUCCUAGGAUAAUAAACAAAAAGGACUAUCUGAAGGUACCAAUCUGAAGAUGUCAAACUGCUGGCAGACAUUGGACUCCUGGAAUAUGAUAAAUUGUAAGUAAUUGCCAGCCAACUCUAAAGUGUAUGUACUGUCUGAAUACAUUUGAUAUGAAUCUUUCACCAAGGUGCAUUGGAAAUUAAAGUGAGAUGUGGACUGGCCAGCACUAGGGAUAAGGUUGUUCAACAUUUUGUAAGAACAACAAAGCGGAACAACUCCAAUACAUAAAUAUCAUCCCAGAUAGUCUCCAUGCCGAAGAUGAGAUCAACAGGUUUAUCAACACACUUAAUAAAUUUAUUCCCAGGUACAAACAGAAUGAAAGGAUUUUGUGAAAUGGUGGCGCAAGGAGAGAAGAAGGUAUCAAACUUGCCAUUCUGAUGAACUAAAGUGGGAAUAUAUAGAAGAACAAAAGGCAUGCAAGGACCACAAAACUUAAAAGCUGGAGAAAGUUCUGAACCAGAAAAUAAGUUAUAAUUAACAGAUUUCAAGAACAAGGAUGGUACCCAUACUAUGAACACCAGGACUGUGUCAGCCUACUGUUGGAGUUUUUCAAGGAUGACAACCGGGAUCAAGACAAUCUUAGUCAAAGGAGCAUAAGGAGUAAUGUCAAAUACCAUUCCAAUGGCACAAACGACCCUAAGUUCACUAAUAAUAAAAUAGAUUGGGCUAUAAGUUUAAAAAUGAUAAGCUAACCAUAGAGAUCAUCAAUAAUAUACAUUCUAGGCUCCCAACCAUCCUCUGUGAGACAGUAGUUGUAAAGAUCACAUUCGGUAUUUACCCAAGUGAAUGGAAAGUUGCUGAUGUAGUACCUAUCUACAAAGGAAACAACAAGCCUCAUGACUCCAUCAAGAGCUACCAUCCUAUCUGCCUCUUACCAAAUCUUAGGAAAAGUGUUAGACUGCCUUAUUUAUUACCAGACAUCUUACCAACUGGCUUAGUGCCCAUCAUCUGCUUAACCCAAGGUAAUAUAGUUUCAAAAAAGGUGUCGGUGCAGAAGAUGCCAUCUACAAGGUAGUAAAGGAAAUCAGUGAAAACAAAAACAAAGCAAUAAGCUUGGACAAUAGCAAUAAGCUUGGAUAUUAAAGGGGCAUUCGACAACGCUUGGUGGUCCCUUAUCCACAACAGAUUAGAAACCCUUAACUGUCUGCCAAUUUUUACAGGUUAGUACUCGAUUAUUUCACUAACAGAAAAGCCAUCUUAAAUUAUAGAGAUACCGCAUAAAAAAAAAAGUUACAACUGGCUGUCCACAAGGAUCCUAUUCCAGCCUGCUCUACUGGAACAUCCUGCUAGAUGACCUACUAAACCAAAACUUCCUUAAAUAACAAAAACAUCACAGUAUAUGCCGAUGAUCUGAUACUCCUCUGCUUGGCACAAUGCAGACUGGAAUUAGAGAGAAAGGUAAACAGGCUACUUAAUCAAAUCCAUAAUUGGGGAAAUAAUAAUAGAGUUUAAUCCUGUCAAGACUACCAACACUAUCUUUAUAAAAUUUAAAGCAGAUAAAAGACUCCCUUCAAUAAAAAUGGACGAUAAAAAUAUUAACAUCAACAACUUGAAAUACCUUGGAGUUAUCAUAGAUAAUAAACUAACUUGGAAUGACUACAUCAAGUAUCUAAAAGACAAGAUAGGAAACUUGUUUGCCUGGAUUUCGAAGGUGGUCUGGGGUCUUUCUGGUGAGGCUCUGCUGACCAUCUUUAAUGGAGCCAUCAUCCAGAUCGUCUCCUAUGCAGCAUCAGUUUGGAGUCAUAGGAUGGACCUUGUACAGGUAAAGAGAACUCCAUUCUAACCAGAGAAAGAUCUUAAGAAUUACUGGUUCAUAUCAUACUAAGAAUUACAGGUACUAGCCAGCUUUCUUCCUUUAGACUUAGAGGUCCCUUUUCUGUUUGAUUAUUGAUGCCAUUGCCAAGGACACCAUCCCAUGUACAUUGAUGCCAAAGAUGCCUGCAUUGACAAGACAACUAAAAGACAUCUUACAAUCAGAAGGUAUACCAGUUAUUAAAGAAAUCAACUAUGAAAACGCAGGGAUAAAGAAAAUCUACACUGAUGGCUACAAAAGCCAUGAGGGAGCCAGUGCAGCCUUCAUUUACUAAUACAAUAAUAGGAAUUGUUACCAUCAAAUUAGAAGAAUCAACAAGCUGUGUAGUAACUUCCAGGCCGAGAUGCUAGCCAUUAAGGAGGCCAUCAGUUGGAUCAACUUUCACAACAGAAACAGCUCCUUCACCAUCUGUACAGAUAGUAAAUCUGCAAUAGCAUCUAUAAAAAGACAAUAGUAGCAAAAAUCUUCUCACCAAUGAGAUAUGGGAAAAACUAAAUCUGACAGGUAAUCUUAAUAAUUCAAUUAAUUUUUGCUGGGUUAAAACACAUAGACAUUGAAAGGAAUGAGA